AUAAUGGGUUCCUGAGAUCACCUUAUAGGUAGAUAGGAUUACCCAUUUUUACCAGCCAAAGUUGCUAUAAUGUUGUACAGUAGAAAGAGGUGGUGUUUCAUAUGCUAACAUGGAAACCUCUUAUGAACAUUGCAAUCUGGAGUGAAGUUUUUAAGCUCAUUGAGGCAGCUAAUUGCUGUUGUCCUCAAAGUGGUCGCCUGUGUAUAUUUCUGUACAAAUUCUUUUUUAAUCAUGCUCUCUGGAAGAAAAUGUACUCUGAUGAAUUCUGAUUGUAAAUCUGAUCAGUUAACCUGGAUCAAGUAGAAGGCAGUGAUGACAGAACAAUUAUGAAUCCAUUCUCCGCGCAUGGGCAUGAUUUUUUUUUCUCCAGAUAUUGAUUAGCAUUGGCAUAUUACAAUCUUGAAGGAUGCACUUCCGCUGUUAUUGGAACUAUGUAUUUCUUUAAACUGUGUGAUAUUAUCAGGUAAACCAUAU
rnacentral:misc_RNA from 1 species